rnacentral:rRNA from 1 species
AUUGAACGCUGGCGGCAUGCCUUACACAUGCAAGUCGAACGGUAACAGGUCUUCGGAUGCUGACGAGUGGCGAACGGGUGAGUAAUACAUCGGAACGUGCCUAGUAGUGGGGGAUAACUACUCGAAAGAGUGGCUAAUACCGCAUGAGAUCUACGGAUGAAAGCAGGGGAUCGCAAGACCUUGUGCUACUAGAGCGGCCGAUGGCAGAUUAGGUAGUUGGUGGGAUAAAAGCUUACCAAGCCGACGAUCUGUAGCUGGUCUGAGAGGACGAUCAGCCACACUGGGACGUAGACACGGCCCAGACUCCUUCGGGAGGCAGCAGGUGGGAAUUUUGGACAAUGGGCGCAAGCCUGAUCCAGCAAUGCCGCGUGCAGGAUGAAGGCCUUCGGUUUGUAAACUGCUUUUGUACGGAACGAAAAGCCCUGGGUUAAUACCCUGGGGUCAUGACGGUACCGUAAGGAUAAGCACCGGCUAACUACGUGCCAGCCGCCGCCGUAACAC